AUUGAACGCUGGCGGCAGGCCUAACACAUGCAAGUCGAGCGGAUGAAGGGAGCUUGCUCCUGGUUUCAGCGUCGGACGGGUGAGUAAUGCCUAGGAAUCUGCCUCGUAUUGCGUUAUAACGUCCUCAAACGGGCGCUAAUACCGCAUACUUCCUGCGGGGGCAAGUUGGUGAUCUUCGGACCUCACGCUCUCAUAUGAGCCUACGUCGGAUUAGCUAGUUGGUUGGGUAAGGGCCUACCAAGGCGACGAUCCGUAACUGGUCUGAGAGGAUGAUCAGUCACACUGGAACGGAGACAGGGUAAAGACUACUAAGGGAGGCAGCAGUGGGGAAUAUUGGACAAUGGGCGAAAGCAUGAUACAGCCAGGCCGAGUGUGAGAAGAAGGUCUUCGGAGUGUAAAGAACUUUAAGUUGGGAGGAAGGGCAGUAAGUUAAUACCUUGCGGGUGUGACGUUACCAACAGAAUAAGCACCGGCUAACUACGUG
rnacentral:rRNA from 1 species